GAAUAAGGAAGAACCUUCAUGUUUUUUAGGGAAUGAAGAACUACAAUAUAAUAGGUCUUUAAAAAAUAAAUAAUAUUACAUCCUAACAACCCCCUACUAACUUAACAAUGCAAAUUACAUAUUAAUAACAAAUUGAUAUCAUCCUUUAAGCUCAAGGAAAUAGUACCAGAACCCUGCUUCAUGACUUGCUACAAACCAACUCCAAGCAUGAACAGGAGGGAAUAAUCACGUAGGAGACAAUUGAAACCAUUUCAAGUAUACUAUAAAAUAAAAAUCAAUCAGUAUGAGUUCUUUUCCAUUAUCUUGGUAUGUAGCACCAACAUGUUGUCUGAUGUAAGAAAGGCUAAAUGGGUCUUUGGCUCUACUUAUCCCGAGAUGAUUAAGCAUGCACAUCAUUUCUCCAAGUCAUUACAUGAUGAAGUCGUAUGUCUCUAUUACUUUAAAGGGGAGACGGAAAAGCAAUUAAGGAAACUAUUGAUAGCAUGCCCUCAAUAGUGAAUAUGCUUUUGAUGAUGACAACUAAUAAGAACUCUUAAUAAUACAACCUGUGCAAUUACCAAGCGAUUACAGAUGUAAACAGACAAAGUUAGGGUUUGAUGAUCACUACAAAGACCCUUUGAUGACGACACUCAACAAGAAUAAAUAUUUAGCCUCAUCUUCAAGACGAAUUUAAGCAAGUGUAUGUAUUACUGAAUUAUUUGACAAAUCUUGAAGUUAAUAAUGUCAAAGAGAGGAAGUGUGAAAGCCCACUAAGUUGCAUCUGAGUGAUCAGAGUGUUGUAAAAACACAAUGACGUUUUCGUUAUGUUACAACUAAUAACACACAUACA